CCCUUUGGACUUUUCUCUAGGUUUGGUGCUAAACUCUUCUGUGAACUCACUCUACCCCUCUCCUCCCUUUAACUCUCUCGAGGGUGUCAUUCACUUAAAACCGUUGCCUCUGGU
rnacentral:lncRNA from 1 species